rnacentral:rRNA from 1 species
CAGCAGCCGCGGUAAAACGAAGGUCCCGAGCGUUGUUCGGAAUCACUGGGCGUAAAGGGAGCGUGGGCGGCGUGGUAAGUCAGAUGUGAAAUCCCGGGGCUCAACCCCGGAACUGCAUCCGAUACUGCCGUGCUAGAGGAUUGGAGAGGUAGCUGGAAUUCUUGGUGUAGCAGUGAAAUGCGUAGAUAUGCGGAGGAACACCGAUGGCGAAGGCAGCCCCCUAGGCCAACACUGACGCUCAUGCGCGAAAGCGUGGGGAGCAAGCAGGAUUAGAUACCCCUGUAGUCCCUGUCUCUUAUAC